UUUCUAAUCCUGAUUCUACCACUAAUUUGCCCCAUGAUGGUGGUAUACAUGAACUAGAUGUCACUCAUUCCUUUUGAGCCUGACUUGGAAGAGAGAACUUGGAGUUUAUAACACUGAAAAGGAAGCACAGUUUAUUGAAAAAAACAAACCAACCCAUGUGUCUGUGGCCUCACGAUCACCCAGGCUCCAUGGUUCAUUGGAUGGACUCACAAGACUCAAUAGCAGGCUUUA